CUUUAGCUCAUGUGAUAGAUCACUGAUCUCGUAAAUCAGAGGUUGUGAGUUCAAUCCUCACAAG
rnacentral:tRNA from 1 species